rnacentral:rRNA from 1 species
GAUGAACGCUGGCGGCGUGCCUAAUACAUGCAAGUCGAGCGAACGGACGAGAAGCUUGCUUCUCUGAUGUUAGCGGCGGACGGGUGAGUAACACGUGGAUAACCUACCUAUAAGACUGGGAUAACUUCGGGAAACCGGAGCUAAUACCGGAUAAUAUUUUGAACCGCAUGGUUCAAAAGUGAAAGACGGUCUUGCUGUCACUUAUAGAUGGAUCCGCGCUGCAUUAGCUAGUUGGUAAGGUAACGGCUUACCAAGGCAACGAUGCAUAGCCGACCUGAGAGGGUGAUCGGCCACACUGGAACUGAGACACGGUCCAGACUCCUACGGGAGGCAGCAGUAGGGAAUCUUCCGCAAUGGGCGAAAGCCUGACGGAGCAACGCCGCGUGAGUGAUGAAGGUCUUCGGAUCGUAAAACUCUGUUAUUAGGGAAGAACAUAUGUGUAAGUAACUGUGCACAUCUUGACGGUACCUAAUCAGAAAGCCACGGCUAACUACGUGCCAGCAGCCGCGGUAAUACGUAGGUGGCAAGCGUUAUCCGGAAUUAUUGGGCGUAAAGCGCGCGUAGGCGGUUUUUUAAGUCUGAUGUGAAAGCCCACGGCUCAACCGUGGAGGGUCAUUGGAAACUGGAAAACUUGAGUGCAGAAGAGGAAAGUGGAAUUCCAUGUGUAGCGGUGAAAUGCGCAGAGAUAUGGAGGAACACCAGUGGCGAAGGCGACUUUCUGGUCUGUAACUGACGCUGAUGUGCGAAAGCGUGGGGAUCAAACAGGAUUAGAUACCCUGGUAGUCCACGCCGUAAACGAUGAGUGCUAAGUGUUAGGGGGUUUCCGCCCCUUAGCGCUGCAGCUAACGCAUUAAGCACUCCGCCUGGGGAGUACGACCGCAAGGUUGAAACUCAAAGGAAUUGACGGGGACCCGCACAAGCGGUGGAGCAUGUGGUUUAAUUCGAAGCAACGCGAAGAACCUUACCAAAUCUUGACAUCCUUUGACAACUCUAGAGAUAGAGCUUUCCCCUUCGGGGGACAAAGUGACAGGUGGUGCAUGGUUGUCGUCAGCUCGUGUCGUGAGAUGUUGGGUUAAGUCCCGCAACGAGCGCAACCCUUAAGCUUAGUUGCCAUCAUUAAGUUGGGCACUCUAGGUUGACUGCCGGUGACAAACCGGAGGAAGGUGGGGAUGACGUCAAAUCAUCAUGCCCCUUAUGAUUUGGGCUACACACGUGCUACAAUGGACAAUACAAAGGGCAGCGAAACCGCGAGGUCAAGCAAAUCCCAUAAAGUUGUUCUCAGUUCGGAUUGUAGUCUACAACUCGACUACAUGAAGCUGGAAUCGCUAGUAAUCGUAGAUCAGCAUGCUACGGUGAAUACGUUCCCGGGUCU